UAGCUUCUAUUUCUUCUUUCAAUAGUUAUGAAAUGGAAAUAUGAUCUAGGCUGAGCAUAAUUUUGUUGGAAUAUGAAUAACUGAAACAGUCUGUCUUUAUAUCUUCAGGGGAAAUUCUUUGAAGGAUGCUGCUUCUAAUUCUUACACCCAAGUCUUUGCUCCAUAUCAUGGAUGGGCUAUUAGAAAAGCUGUUGGUGCAGGGAUGUAUGCGUUGCCUACUAGGCCGCAGUUGAUGAAGAAGCUGAAUGAGGAUGAGGACUCUGCCCGCAUCCAAAUGCAAAGCUACAUUACUUCUUCGGAUGCUGUGAUUGGAUACAUUGACAAGUUGUUCCUCUCGAAGGAACUAGGUAUAGAUUGGUGAAUUGUUGGAGGAAUUCAUUGUAUGAACAAUAGGCUAAAUAUGCUCUUAGAAUGUACUAUGUUUAUUGUUUACGACAGUGUAAAUAAGCGUAAGCUGAGUACUCUCAUUCAAGCUGGUAGGACUAAUGAGGGUUGCUAUAGGCCUCUGUAACUAUUUAAUGCUCGCUUGCUAUAAAUGUUGCCGAAUGGCCAUAGGUGACCCUAUAAUCUUCCUUGACAACUCGAGAUGUUUUCGAGCUCUUUUCAUUGGAAAAAAAAAAAUGAUAACAGUACAAGUUCUUUGCUCAAGUUGA